UCUUUCUCGGCCUUCUCCAACAACAACGAUGCGCUGGUUAUCCGGGGACCAGGCAAGAUCUUUAAUGGUACCGAUAAAUGGCUACAACAACAACAGCAACAGUUAACAAAACGGUCAAGUCGAAGGAAUUGUCGCCGCAAAAGCAGAUCCAUCCACGUUUACGACUUCAGAAUAACGCGUCACAGGAACAAACAAUAGUUAACUUGAUACCGAAGAUGACUGGUUUACAUCCAAUUCGCUUGGACGCACUCGACGCUCGAGUCUUCGUCAAGCCGACGGACAUGUUCCACUAAUAGAACUAACGCGCAUAUCAAACGUUAGAGCCAGCUAUAACAUUAGCCAAAGGGAUUCAACUCAAGGCAAGGAAAAUUUCCCAAAAAAGAGUUACUGUCACUCAGAAAGGUGAAGUUCGAUUUAAAGGGCGCACUGGAAGCCAUCUUAGUAGCGAACAACGUGCAGAUUUGUGCCAGGUGAAGCUCUAUUAAAAGGGCGGACUACGCAAGAGUCGUCGUGUGCUUUUGUUCGACUUACUGUUCGAGUAGCUCAUGGCUCUGUUGUUGUGUGAUGAGACAAU